rnacentral:rRNA from 1 species
ACUCCUGCGGGAGGCAGCAGUGGGGAAUUUUGGACAAUGGGCGAAAGCCUGAUCCAGCCAUGCCGCGUGCAGGAUGAAGGCCUUCGGGUUGUAAACUGCUUUUGUACGGAACGAAACGGCCUUUUCUAAUAAAGAGGGCUAAUGACGGUACCGUAAGAAUAAGCACCGGCUAACUACGUGCCAGCAGCCGCGGUAAUACGUAGGGUGCAAGCGUUAAUCGGAAUUACUGGGCGUAAAGCGUGCGCAGGCGGUUAUGUAAGACAGUUGUGAAAUCCCCGGGCUCAACCUGGGAACUGCAUCUGUGACUGCAUAGCUAGAGUACGGUAGAGGGGGAUGGAAUUCCGCGUGUAGCAGUGAAAUGCGUAGAUAUGCGGAGGAACACCGAUGGCGAAGGCAAUCCCCUGGACCUGUACUGACGCUCAUGCACGAAAGCGUGGGGAGCAAACAGGAUUAGAAACCCUGGUAGUCCCAUG